rnacentral:rRNA from 1 species
AUUGAACGCUGGCGGCAGGCCUAACACAUGCAAGUCGAGCGGAUGAAGGGAGCUUGCUCCUGGAUUCAGCGGCGGACGGGUGAGUAAUGCCUAGGAAUCUGCCUGGUAGUGGGGGAUAACGUCCGGAAACGGGCGCUAAUACCGCAUACGUCCUGAGGGAGAAAGUGGGGGAUCUUCGGACCUCACGCUAUCAGAUGAGCCUAGGUCGGAUUAGCUAGUUGGUGGGGUAAAGGCCUACCAAGGCGACGAUCCGUAACUGGUCUGAGAGGAUGAUCAGUCACACGGGAACUGAGAAACGGUCCAGACUCCUACGGGAGGCAGCAGUGGGGAAUAUUGGACAAUGGGCGAAAGCCUGAUCAGCCAUGCCGCGUGUGUGAAGAAGGUCUUCGGAUUGUAAAGCACUUUAAGUUGGGAGGAAGGGCAGUAAGUUAAUACCUUGCUGUUUUGACGUUACCAACAGAAUAAGCACCGGCUAACUUCGUG